AUUAUGYACCUCAACAGCAGGUAGGAAGUA
rnacentral:rRNA from 1 species